rnacentral:rRNA from 1 species
AAAUUGAAGAGUUUGAUCAUGGCUCAGAUUGAACGCUGGCGGCAGGCCUAACACAUGCAAGUCGAGCGGUAGCACAGGGGAGCUUGCUCUCUGGGUGACGAGCGGCGGACGGGUGAGUAAUGUCUGGGAAACUGCCUGAUGGAGGGGGAUAACUACUGGAAACGGUAGCUAAUACCGCAUAAUGUCUUCGGACCAAAGAGGGGGACCUUCGGGCCUCUUGCCAUCGGAUGUGCCCAGAUGGGAUUAGCUAGUAGGUGAGGUAAUGGCUCACCUAGGCGACGAUCCCUAGCUGGUCUGAGAGGAUGACCAGCCACACUGGAACUGAGACACGGUCCAGACUCCUACGGGAGGCAGCAGUGGGGAAUAUUGCACAAUGGGCGCAAGCCUGAUGCAGCCAUGCCGCGUGUGUGAAGAAGGCCUUCGGGUUGUAAAGCACUUUCAGCGGGGAGGAAGGCGGUGAGAUUAAUACUCUCA